GAGGCAAAAACUUUAUGAAAUUAAACGUUCCUUUUAACCUGCACUUCUAUUCUUACAUUCUCUUCUAUUUCCUUUUUUUAAAAAAAAUUCUGGCUGGGCGUGGUGGCUCACGCCUGUAAUUCCAGCACUCUGGGAGGCCAAGGCAUGCGGAUCACUUGAGGCCAGGAGUUCGAGACCAGCCUGGCCAACAUGGCAAAACCCCGUCUCUACUAAAAAUACAAAAAAUUAGCCAGAUGUGGUGGCAGGUGCCUGUAACGCCAACUACUUGAGAGGCUGAGGCUGGAGAAUCACUUGAACCCAGGAGGUGGAGGUCAGUGAGCCAAGACUGUGAAACUGCACUCUAGCCUGGGCAGAGACUAGAGACUCUAGCCUGGACAGAAUGAGACUGUCUCAAAAACAAACAAACAAAAAAAUUCUGUGUAUGACUAUGAUCCCUUAACUUGAUUUCAUGACCCACGAAUGGAUCUCAACCUACAACUGGAAAAACCCACUACUCUGGAGGAGCUGAUUCCGUACUCUGCUGGAUCUUCAAUUCCUGACCGCUGGAAAUUGGCUGCAAUUUUCCUGGGACCUCCAGGAUAAAUGCCAGGAUCCCAGUUACUGGCAGACUGAGAGAAGGAUGACAGCCCCAAAAGAUCACGAGGUUCCUAUCUGUUCAUAUUUGGUGGGCAGCUUUCGUCUGCAAGAACAAAAUACAAGCCGGGUGAGGCGGCUCACAUCUGUAAUGCCAGUACUUUGGGAGGCCGAGGCAGGCGGAUCACCUGAUGUCAGGAGUUUGAGACCAGCCUGACCAACAUGGCGAAACCCCAUCUCUACUAAAAGUACAAAAUUAGCCAGGUGUAGUGGUGCAUGCCUGUAAUCCCAGCUACUCGAGAGGCCGAGGCAGGAGAAUCGCUUGAACCCGCGAGGCGGAGGUUGCAGUGAGCCGAGAUCGCACCACUGCACUCCAGCCUGGGCGACAGAG
rnacentral:lncRNA from 1 species